rnacentral:rRNA from 1 species
AUGGAGGAGGGCAUUUAUUUCUCCUCCGGAUCUCAUGCAGCUAGAGUGCGAGACCAUCCAUUUUGCCUGCUCCCACGGCGUCUACACAAGCGUCCUGCACUGCGACGUUGUCGGGUCCCACAGCGCCGGGAGCAGGUACUUCCUCCCGCUCAGCCCGACGGCGUUGUAGCUCGCGCCGGUGGCCCGGUCCACGAGCAGCCUCCCCGGGUAGCCGGGGUAGGCGCCGCUGCCGAAGAUGCCGGCGCACGCCGUGGCGGCCUCCGGCCCGGCGCCGUCGGCAUCAUUGCCCUGGUAGUACCCGUCACCGUAGGGGUUGGUCACCGUGCCGGCGAGGAGCGCGGCGAGGCUGAUCACCAUGCCGUCCGUUCCCACGUCGCCGCUGGGCGGCACGAGCGGCGGGGCCUGGGGCCCGUACGACGGCCGGUGGAACGGCCACGCGCACUGGCCGGGGCACUGCUGGGCCGGGUUGCCCACCCACAGGUAGGCGUACCUCGCCCUGCCGUGCGCGCCGGCGGUGGCGUGGUCGUGGACGCCGCACCGGGACAUGCAGAAGGGCGCCACCAGGACGUCGGGCGCCGUGAGCACGGCGGUGAUGGCGCCGCGGUGGUGCCCCGCGCCCCUCGCCAGCGCCGUGACGUUCUCCAGCGAGAGGGACCGGCCCAGCGACAUGCGCUCGUCGAGGAGCUCCCGGCCGAGCCUCAGCCGCGCGCCCCCGCCGCGGUACAGCGAGACGGUGCGCCACCAGGACGCCACGGACGGCUCGGCGCCGCCGCCCGGGGCCGGCGCCGAGACCGACCGCACGAAGUCGGCGACGACGGCGCGCUGCGCGGGGGCGAAGCGGCCGUAGUAGAGGACGUUGACCUUGACCGUGAGGUUCCCCGUGAGCAGCGCGCCGCCGUGGUCCCGGAGCACGAUCGGGUCGGGCUUCACCAGGAACAGCGUCCGCGGGCUGUACGCCGCGCACCGGGGCGCCGCGGCGAAGAGGAGGGAGAAGAGGCAGAGCAGUAG